UGCUACAGGUAGAAUCCACACGUAAAACUAAUCAUGUUGCUACAGAAGUGUAGAAGCAUUGUGGUGAUCGUCAAGCUCAUGCUAGGUGACUCGCUCUGGCAGCCAUUGUGGGAACACUUUAUCAUUGCCGACCAAACAAUAUCGUCCACUGCAAGACCGUGGACAAAGCCUCCGCCGUGCUUGCAAGUCAGGCACUAUCCGUCGGGGAGCUCGGCAAGGCAUGUACCACUAGCUAAAUGUCCGCCAUUUGCACUGCAAAAAUUCAAGAUCAUAGCAAGAGGUUAGUAUUAAUGCUGCCUUUCUCGGGUGAAUGGCAAAAAGAAUCGGUCGAGUAUUUGCCGAGAAGAUAAGAGAUGGCUACUUACCAAAUCUUAGUUGAGGAUGUAACCUGAAAAAAUAAACUAACAAGGGGGACUCCACAAAAAUAAUCACUAUGACCAUUAUAAACCAGAGAACACAUACAGCCACAAUAUGAAGGAUCACUCAAUAGCAGCAAGAGAAUCAUAUGAGAACUACAAUCUUAUUGGCAAACAGUUAGACAUUUCCACAGUAGUACUGCAUCUUCAUGUCUUCUCCAACAAAAGCAGUACAGAACAAGAAACAAACUGUGUAAGAUCUUAUCCGUUAAUUGAUUAUGAUUCAGGCAAAGGAAAACUCGGAACAGGCAUGUAAGAUGAUACAUAAUCAUUCAGACUAGAAACAAGCAUCCACCUAAUCAAUCGAGUGACUGAUGACGACUUGUACAAUACAAGGUAUAAAAAAUGUUUAUAAGCACGAUUCCUCCAGACAAACAUGUGCAACUGAACGAGCAUCUGACCCUAAUUAUAAACAUAAGCGAAUGCAAAUAAAAAUGAAUAUACACCAAACUUGGGAUAAUAUAUAUUUUCUAAGCUUGGCAGAAUAUUGCCUAUAUAAUAUCUACAGAGAG
rnacentral:lncRNA from 1 species